rnacentral:rRNA from 1 species
GUCCACGCCGUAAACGAUGGAUACUAGCUGUUGGGAGCAAUUUCAGUGGCUAAGCGAAAGUGAUAAGUAUCCCACCUGGGGAGUACGUUCGCAAGAAUGAAACUCAAAGGAAUUGACGGGGGCCCGCACAAGCGGUGGAGCAUGUGGUUUAAUUCGAUGAUACGCGAGGAACCUUACCAAGGCUUAAAUGUAGAUUGACCGGUUUGGAAACGACUUUUCGCAAGACAAUUUACAAGGUGCUGCAGUGGUUGUCGU